GCUGUUGGAGUUGACUGGAGAUGGUCGAAUAAGAACUGUAACACCUCAGUUUUCACAGUGUAACGGAUUUGGUAAAGAAACACGAUAAAAGAAGUAAACCCUCUGUUUCUCAACUCAAGAAAAAGCCUAGCGCUGAAGUGAAGUCUUACAAUGAUAACCAGAUGAUGGUAGUGCCUGAAAAACAACCUCCACCUGUUAAGGUUUCAGUGUCGAUAUCGGUGUAAAAACAUUUCCUCUGAUCAAAAACUGAGCGUAUUUAAUCAGUUGUAUGAACUAGGAGAUAAUGUCAAGCAAAAUUUGUAUCCUAAUAAGUAUCUGUGAAGUUAAAUAUUGAUAUAAUGGUACCCUAUUCUUAUUGU